GACGAACGCUGGCGGCGUGCUUAACAUAUGCAAGUCGAACGGAAAGGCCCUGCUUUUGUGGGGUGCUCGAGUGGCGAACGGGUGAGUAACACGUGAGUAACCUGCCCUUGACUUUGGGAUAACUUCAGGAAACUGGGGCUAAUACCGGAUAGGAGUUCCUGCUGCAUGGUGGGGGUUGGAAAGUUUCGGCGGUUGGGGAUGGACUCGCGGCUUAUCAGCUUGUUGGUGGGGUAGUGGCUUACCAAGGCUUUGACGGGUAGCCGGCCUGGGAGGGUGACCGGCCACAUUGGGACUGAGAUACGGCCCAGACCCCUACGGGAGGCAGCAGUGGGGAAUAUUGCACAAUGGGCGGAAGCCUGAUGCAGCAACGCCGCGUGCGGGAUGACGGCCUUCGGGUUGUAAACCGCUUUCGCCUGUGACGAAGCGUGAGUGACGGUAAUGGGUAAAGAAGCACCGGCUAACUACGUG
rnacentral:rRNA from 1 species